rnacentral:rRNA from 1 species
AGGAUAAACGCUGGCGGCGUGCCUAACACAUGCAAGUCGAACGUCUCUUUCUUCGGGAAGAGGAGUGGCGGACGGGUGAGGAACACGUGGGAACCUGCCCUUUAGUGAGGAAUACCGGCGAGAAAUCGCCGACAAGACCGCAUAGCCCUCUUUGAUGAGAGUCAAAGAAGGAAAGCUUCGCAAGAGGCGCUAGAGGAGGGGCCUGCGUCCGAUUAGCUAGUUGGUGGGGUAAGAGCCUACCAAGGCGACGAUCGGUAGCUGGUCUGAGAGGACGAUCAGCCACACUGGGAUUGAGAACGGCCAGACUCCUACGGGGGCAGCAGUGAGGAAUUUUCCGCAAUGGGCGCAAGCCUGACGGAGCAACGCCGCGUGCAGGAAGACGGUUUUCGGAUCGUAAACUGCUUUCGUCGGGGACGAGAACGGACGGUACCCGAGGAAUCAGCCCCGGCUAACUACGUGCCAGCAGCCGC